CCUACGGGGGGCUGCAGUGGGGAAUAUUGCACAAUGGGCGCAAGCCUGAUGCAGCCAUGCCGCGUGUGUGAAGAAGGCCUUCGGGUUGUAAAGCACUUUCAGCGGGGAGGAAGGCGGUGAGGUUAAUAACCUCAUCGAUUGACGUUACCCGCAGAAGAAGCACCGGCUAACUCCGUGCCAGCAGCCGCGGUAAUACGGAGGGUGCAAGCGUUAAUCGGAAUUACUGGGCGUAAAGCGCACGCAGGCGGUCUGUCAAGUCGGAUGUGAAAUCCCCGGGCUCAACCUGGGAACUGCAUUCGAAACUGGCAGGCUAGAGUCUUGUAGAGGGGGGUAGAAUUCCAGGUGUAGCGGUGAGAUGCGUAGAGAUCUGGAGGAAUACCGGUGGCGAAGGCGGCCCCCUGGACAAAGACUGACGCUCAGGUGCGAAAGCGUGGGGAGCAAACAGGAUUAGAUACCCGAGUAGUC
rnacentral:rRNA from 1 species